AGACGCAGCAAGGCGGUCGCUCAUGGAUUUCGGUUCAUGGGAGGAAAGUCCGAGCACGACAGGACACGAUGGUGGGUAACGCCCACCCGCCCCAACAUGCCCGCGAGGGUUCGGCUGGGGGCGAGGGACAGUGCCACAGAGAACAUACCGCCGAUGGCCCGGCUUGCCGGGCACAGGUAAGGGUGAAAAGGUGCGGUAAGAGCGCACCGCCCGCUUGGUGACAAGCGGGGCACGGUAAACCCCAUCGCGUGCAAGCCCAAGCAGAGCUCGUGUUGUCCGCACGAUGAGCUCGGGUCGGGUGCUGGGAGCGAAUGCUCCUCACCGUAUCGGCAACGAUGCGGGCAGAGAAAUGGCCGCCCAUGGGCGCAGGUCUGAUCGCGAGCCCCCGUCAAUGGAGCUGAUCAGAAACCGCGCCUUGGACAGAACUCGGCUUACCAGCUGCGUCCAGCC
rnacentral:RNase_P_RNA from 1 species